GCUGACUGUUUAGCAGCACAUACAUAAACUGGUUUAAUAAAGGGAAGAUGAGCAUGGCUCUUGGUCAAUGGUGACAUGUAAAUUUGUGAAGACCUCCUUUUUUAA